UUAGGGUUUUGAUCAAAAAAGAUGAAGUGAACCUUUGUCUAGUUAUAGUUCUACCUGUAACGAAACUUUCAAAUUGCGGGGAAGUCUUAAAGACAAAUCUACCAAGUUAAUAUAGUAAUAUGAUUAAUGGCACAGGUAAUGACUCGUGGUAUGGUAAAAACGAUUUGUAUAUGUAGAUAAUCCGCAGCCAAGUACCAAAUAUAAAUUAUUUGGUAUGCAGUUCAUCGACUAAAUGGAAGUUGGUUUAUUUUUAAUAAGCUUAAGAUAUAGUCAGUUUUUAUAUGAAAAUAUAAA
rnacentral:ncRNA from 1 species